rnacentral:sRNA from 1 species
UAUUCUGCCCCAUGGGGAAGGAUGAGAAGCUUCGACUAAGGUUCGACUCGAGCGCCAGCGAGAGAACGUUGCCACAGGCAACGGCCC